rnacentral:rRNA from 1 species
AGCUCGUGUCGUGAGAUGUUGGGUUAAGUCCCGCAACGAGCGCAACCCCUAUUGUUAGUUGCCAUCAUUCAGUUGGGCACUCUAGCGAGACUGCCGGUAAUAAACCGGAGGAAGUGGGAUGACGUCAAAUCAUCAUGCCCCUUAUGACCUGGGCUACACACGUGCUACAAUGGUUGGUACAACGAGUUGCGAGUCGGUGACGGCGAGCUAAUCUCUUAAAGCCAAUCUCAGUUCGGAUUGUAGGCUGCAACUCGCCUACAUGAAGUCGGAAUCGCUAGUAAUCGCGGAUCAGCACGCCCGCGGUCCGAAUACGUUCCGGCCUU